rnacentral:siRNA from 1 species
UAAUUCGAGGCGGAUAAGCGUCUA